UUCCCCUAUUGAAGCCUUCCGCAGCGACUUGAUAAAUAACUGCGUAGCCUGCUUUGCAGACCACACCACGAAAGUGCUAGGACUUGAUUAACUUUGAGUACCAGCAGCCUAGAGUUCUAGGUCCACAGAUCAUGUAGUGGUGGUCAUUUAUGAUUGAGAUAUGACCGGUCUUAACUAAUUCUAGUUAAGAAUCGACGUUCCGUAGGUGAACCUGCGGAAGGAUCAUUAUUGAAAAGGGAACCCUUCGGGGUUCAACCUUCAACCCUUUGUCUUAAUUACUUGUUUCUUUGGCGGGCUCGCCCGUCAGAAGUUUUCUCAAACCCAUUAUAAAUGUGUCAUCUGAAUAACAAAAUAAAUCAAAACUUUCAACAACGGAUCUCUUGGUUCUG
rnacentral:misc_RNA from 1 species